rnacentral:lncRNA from 1 species
UAUAUUUAAAAAUUAGUAUAUAUCCGCUGCUAUAAUUGAGGGGUAACUUUGGCGCAACUAGUAAAGUUGUUGUCAUUUGACUGAAAGGUCACCGGUUUAAGUCCUGGAAACAGCCUCUUGUGUAAAAAACAUGAUAAGACUGCGUACAAUACACCAAAAACAAUGAGACCCCUUCCCAAACCCUACAUAUGCAGGAGCUUUAGUGCAUCAGGUUGCCCUUUAUCCGCUGCUAUAAUUGAAAAAUUGGGUGGAAAAUGUUUGAAUAGGCUCCACAGAAGAACCUUGGAUAAGACAGACUCACCCACCGUGUUGGGCGCUGUGGUUUAUCAAGCCAAGGACUCUUCCGUACAAAACCCAUUGUUUUAACCCUCAGCUACCAUUGUUUUACUCGUUCAACAAAACAUAUCCUUAAAUUGUUCCUUAACCACAUCUAUCCACGAUGAUGAUAUGAUUCAUAUUCAGUGGCCCCAACCCUAAAUAAGUAUGCCUCAAGCACUAUUUAUG